rnacentral:rRNA from 1 species
GAACGCUGGCGGCGUGCUUAACACCUGCAAGUCGAACGGUGAAGCGCCUUCCUUUUUGGUGGGUGUGGAUGAGUGGCGAACGGGUGAGUAACACGUGAGUAACCUGCCCCCUUCUUCUGGAUAACCGCAUGAAAGUGUGGCUAAUACGGGAUAUUCUGGGUCUGUCGCAUGAUGGGUCUGGGAAAGAUAUUGUUUCGGUGGGGGAUGGGCUCGCGGCCUAUCAGCUUGUUGGUGGGGUGAUGGCCUACCAAGGCGGUGACGGGUAGCCGGCCUGAGAGGGUGGACGGUCACACUGGGACUGAGACACGGCCCAGACUCCUACGGGAGGCAGCAGUGGGGAAUAUUGCACAAUGGGCGCAAGCCUGAUGCAGCGACGCCGCGUGAGGGAUGGAGGCCUUCGGGUUGUGAACCUCUUUCGCCAGUGAAGCAGGCCUGCCUCGUUUGUGGGUGGGUUGACGGUAGCUGGAUAAGAAGCGCCGGCUAACUACGUG